CCCAGGCUGGAGUACAGUGAUGCAAUCUCAGCUCAACAGUGAAUAUAUUAAAGCCUGAAGUACAUGGAAGAAAGAAGAAAUCCAUUUGAAUGGAAGAAGCAUUCCAAGUGACAGAAUGUAUCAGAACAUUUAAAGACGAAAUAAGGACAUCAUUUUGAAUCAUGAGGCCUACUGGAAAAAUAAACAACAAAAAGCAAGCAAGCAAAAUACAGUGGAGAGAGCUGAUAGAGCAGUAGAAGGUCUCCUGGAAUAUCCCCACAGGCUGCUGGUGUCUGAUCCUAGAAAGAAAAGUUCAGAGAAUGAGAACCCCUGGACUGUCUCAAAAAAAAGAAAAAAAGAAAAAAACAGAAACGCGACAUGCUCUAAAAAGGAAUAUUUAACCUGGAUUAAUUCAUAAAAUAAUAGGAGAAAAUUUUUGCAGCCAGAAUACUAUGAAUUUGAGUUGGUUGAAGGUAAGAAAACACAAGCCUGUCAGUAUCUCCCCAUUUCUCCCUCCCUUUAGAGUUCACA
rnacentral:lncRNA from 1 species